ACCGUCAUUCCGUUCCUCCGCCUCGGUCUCUCCGGUUUUGUCCCUUCCUCCUGCCGCCUGAUAAAAAGAGGAGCGACGCAGCAUCAACGACACAGUGGAAGGAUCGAAGGUUGGUAGAUGGAGAAGCUGGCGUUAUCAUUUCUCUCUCUGUGGAUAAAGGCUUGUAAAGGUAAAUAAAGGAAAGAUAUGGCCAUGGAAAGGAAGUCCCUACAAAUGUUCAGAUAGGUUUAUUGACUUCAUCCCAAGAAUAUUACCAGGAUAAUUUUUUAUAUAUAGAAAA